rnacentral:rRNA from 1 species
CUACGUUAGCUGCGCCACUGAAAAACAUUGUUUCCCAACAGCUAGUUGACAUCGUUUACGGCGUGGACUACCAGGGUAUCUAAUCCUGUUCGCUACCCACGCUUUCGCACCUUAGUGUCAGUACAGAUCCAGGAGGCUGCCUUCGCCAUUGGUAUUCUUCACAAUAUCUACGCAUUCCACCGCUACACUGUGAAUUCUACCUCCCUCUAUCGUACUCUAGUGAAUCAGUUUUGGAUGCAGUUCCCAGGUUGAGCCCGGGGAUUUCACAUCCAACUUAAUAAACCACCUACGCGCGCUUUACGCCCAGUAAUUCCGAUUAACGCUUGGACCUUCCGUAUUACCGCGGCUGCUGGCACGGAAUUAGCCGGUCCUUAUUCUGAAGGUAAUGUCACGGUUAUUGGGUAUUAACCAAUAACUUUUCUUCCCAACUUAAAGUGCUUUACAACCCUAGGGCCUUC